UACGUGGGGGGCAAGCGUUGUUCGGAAUUAUUGGGCGUAAAGAGCUCGUAGGCGGUCUGUCGCGUCGGCUGUGAAAACCCGGGGCUCAACCCCGGGCCUGCAGUCGAUACGGGCAGACUAGAGUGCGGUAGGGGAGACUGGAAUUCCUGGUGUAGCGGUGAAGUGCGCAGAUAUCAGGAGGAACACCGGUGGCGAAGGCGGGUCUCUGGGCCGUAACUGACGCUGAGGAGCGAAAGCGUGGGGAGCGAACAGG
rnacentral:rRNA from 1 species